CGAAGCCCUGAGAAUGAUUCUUCGGAUGAAGUCUCUUGUGACUGAGUGGCGGACGGGUGAGUAACGCGUGGGUAACCUGCCUCACACAGGGGGAUAACAGUUGGAAACGACCGCUAAUACCGCAUAACCCGCUGGUGCCGCAUGGCACUGACGGAAAAGAUUUUAUCGGUGUGAGAUGGACCCGCGUCUGAUUAGCCAGUUGGCAGGGUAACGGCCUACCAAAGCGACGAUCAGUAGCCGGCCUGAGAGGGUGAACGGCCACAUUGGGACUGAGGCACGGCCCAGACUCCUGCGGGAGGCAGCAGUGGGGAAUAUUGCACAAUGGGGGAAACCCUGAUGCAGCGACGCCGCGUGAGUGAAGAAGUAUUUCGGUAUGUAAAGCUCUAUCAGCAGGGAAGAAAAUGACGGUACCUGAUUAAGAAGCCCCGGCUAACUACGUGCCAGCAGCCGCGGUAAUACGUAGGGGGCAAGCGUUAUCCGGAUUUACUGGGUGUAAAGGGAGCGUAGACGGUGAUGCAAGUCAGAAGUGAAAGCCCGGGGCUCAACUCCGGGACUGCUUUUGAAACUGUGUGACUGGAGUGCAGGAGAGGUAAGCGGAAUUCCUGGUGUAGCGGUGAAAUGCGUAGAUAUCAGGAGGAACACCAGUGGCGAAGGCGGCUUACUGGACUGUAACUGACGUUGAGGCUCGAAAGCGUGGGGAGCAAAC
rnacentral:rRNA from 1 species